AGUUUGUCAAAGUGGAGCAGGAAAA
rnacentral:piRNA from 1 species